CCUACUUUAAAACCAUCAUAUUGGCCCACCAACGAUGUCCAAUAUCAAAUCCAUCUAAGGUGCUCACCUUAGAUCCGUUUGGUUCGGGGAUUUUGAUGGAGAGGGGAGGGAAUGGGAGGGAAUAUUUUAAAUUUGUUGUAUUUGGUUCAAUUUUUAGAAGGGGAGGGAGGGGAAGGGGAGCAAAAUUCUUUAUAAGUUUAUUUAUUGCUCCCCCUCAAAUUGAAGUUUUUUGGAGGGGAGGGGAGGGAAAGAUAAAUGAUUUAAUGCAAUUUUAAUUAUAUUGACAUAAUUAUCCUCAUAUUCAUUUUAAAAUGACAAAAUCGUCCUUAUUAAAAAUUUAAGUGUUUUCAAUAUAUUGCUUAUUACUUUUUUUUCUUAACAUGCAUAUAUCAUCCUUUUUUUUUUUUAAGUAGAACCACAUAUUCUUUUCUUUUAAUAUUUUUUUUACGAGAAUUCUUUUUUUUUUUUGUACUAACGUUGUUCUCAUUUUUUAUUUAAUAUUUUUUAAUUGUACUAUAUAUUAAAACAUCAUCAACAAAUUUUGUGCGGGAUUUUUUAUAAAUAUAUUUUAUAAAUCAGUUCUAACAAUAAUUUUUUUAUAAAUAUUUUUAUAUUUUCGUAGAUUAUUUUAUAAAUCAGUGCUCUAAUAUUUAUGAAUACUCAAUAUUUUGUCAGAAGUUUUGUGUAUGAUUACUUAUGGUGUUUACGGUUACUAAGUUUUCAUGUUUAAUUUUUUAUGAAGUGAAUAAUUUAAAAAUCGUGAUACUAUUUUAAUAUUAGAGGGAUAAAAAAAAGUAAUUUAGUUUUAAAAUCCCUCCCAUCCCCUUGUGAACCAAACAUAUAUUUGAUUAAAAUCUCUCCCCUCUCAUUCCCUCCCAUCAUUUGAACCAAACAUAUAUUUAAUUGAAAUAUCUCCCCUUCCUUUCCCUCCCUUUCUCUCCCCUCCAUUAAAACCUCUCCCCUUCGUUGAACCAAACAGACCCUUAGUGUAAUAUAUGAUGUAACACAAAAAUAUCCCCCGACUUCAUCAUCGAAAAUUAUCAUUUUGGAAUCAUGUGGUUCAUCAAAUCAGAGAAGAUUGUUAUCUUCGAAUUGUUGAAACCUCUGGAUGGAUGACAACCUAAUUCUUUUGAAGUCUAUUUAAACAUCUAUGCUAGUAUACCUCCUUUCCUUUUUUAAAGGUUUUUCAGAUAUCAUUCUUAAAAUUGAGACUUGUAAAAUUCGUUGGGUUCAUUGAGACAAAGUGUGUUUACCUAAAGAGAAGGAAGGUGGGGAGUUUACAAGUUUUUUAUUUGGCUCUUUUAAGGAAGUGGUGUUGGAGGUUAAGGAGGGAGAAAGAUGAGUUUUGGUGUCACCUUUCGGCUCAUAAACAUGGGCUUCUAAUUAGGGAAGUGGUUAGAGAGAGCAUCACAAAUUCAAUUUGGUGGAAGAAUAUUUUUAGAAUUAUGAGAGGUGAUG
rnacentral:lncRNA from 1 species